GGGGGAGUCUAAGUUAUCCGGCACACCCUGCCUUUCGUCCAUCAGAAUGACUCUUCCUUCAGCAAGAAUCUCCCUUUUGAUGUUGUGCAUGCUGGUUGGAGUGCAAGCCCUAAAUAUAAGUAUCUUGCAGGGCUGCUUGAAGCUACCCUUUGGGAUCCUACUUCUGACAUCAAAUUGUCAGCUGAAAAUGAAUUACAAGCUAAGAAAAUUUGAAGGGAAAACUUAUUAAGCUUUGUUGGAAGAAGCGAGAGCCUAAAAAGAUGGCCAACUCCCAAGUCUCUAUGGAUUACAUACUUAAAAGGUCUGAACUCAGGUUACAAGGAAGAGAGGGAAAUGAUGCUAAU